rnacentral:rRNA from 1 species
GAUGAACGCUGGCGGCGUGCCUAAUACAUGCAAGUCGAGCGAACAGACGAGGAGCUUGCUCCUCUGACGUUAGCGGCGGACGGGUGAGUAACACGUGGAUAACCUACCUAUAAGACUGGGAUAACUUCGGGAAACCGGAGCUAAUACCGGAUAAUAUAUUGAACCGCAUGGUUCAAUAGUGAAAGACGGUUUUGCUGUCACUUAUAAAUGGAUCCGCGCCGCAUUAGCUAGUUGGUAAGGUAACGGCUUACCAAGGCAACGAUGCGUAGCCGACCUGAGAGGGUGAUCGGCCACACUGGAACUGAGACACGGUCCAGACUCCUACGGGAGGCAGCAGUAGGGAAUCUUCCGCAAUGGGCGAAAGCUUGACGGAGCAACGCCGCGUGAGUGAUGAAGGUCUUCGGAUCGUAAAACUCUGUUAUUAGGGAAGAACAAAUGUGUAAGUAACUGUGCACGUCUUGACGGUACCUAAUCAGAAAGCCACGGCUAACUACGUG